rnacentral:lncRNA from 1 species
AUUCACUCUUCUCUUAUCUGAGAAGAGGCUGUAACAGGAGCGGUGCUGCAGGGAUGUUUGGGAUGUUUGGGCCGCAUCAGGAAAGGCAGUGCUAGAAAAAAAAACCCAGCAGCUUUAAAUAACCACAAAGUUCAGGGAGCCCAGUGCAUUAUUUCAGUAUCGUCCUUUUGUGUGUGGCUUUCUGUGUCAUGUAUUUUUGAAAGUUACCCAGUGUUACCCUGCAGCUGCUCGGGGCUGCAGUAAAUAUGACAGCUGACACCUGGGAAGGGGCAGGCUGAGGGACCACGGAGAGCAGGGUGGUGUAAAAGAAAAAAAUCAUGUGAAAGGAGACAUGGGCAAAAGUCUCAGAAGCCUUGAAGUAAAGCAUCCUCGGCUGUAAAGAAGCAGGAGUGGGACACUGACACAGACACAGAAUCCCACUGCCACUACCCAAGUGUCAGGAACUCCUCCUGAGCUUAAGAAGAUCCUGGACCCUCCUGUCUUCUUCGGGAAAGGCCCAGUGACACUUCUUACUGUCCUUGUUUAGGGUAGCAGCCAGAAUCUAUUCUAAAUAAAAAUUUUAAUAAAUGGAUAAACAUAGCACAUUAAAAGAACCAAGGUGGGGCUGGAGAGAUGGCUCAGCGGUUAAGAGCGCUGACUGCUCUUCCAGAGGUCCUGAGUUCAAUUCUCAGAAGCCACAUGGUGGCUGACAACUAUCUUAAAUGGGAUCUGAUGCCCUCUUGUGUGUCUGAAGUGCUUACCUCCUCUGUGGCAGCAUGUACCUGUAACCCCAGUGCUGGGUAGACGGACAACAGGAUCCCUGGAGGUCACUGGCUAGCCAUUCCAGCUGAGACAGCAAGCUCUGGAUUUGGUGAGAAGCUCUGUCUAGCUCACACAGAUUAAGGAAUACAGAUUGUCUUUCUUUUUAGAAGCAAAAAUAACAAGCAGGUAAGGAUGCUCCAGGAAGCCGAAUAGAUGAGAUUUAGCAUGGUUUCCUCACUGCACCCUCUUCUUCUUCUGUUAUCCCAGCUUGCUCUGCCUUCAUGAAUCUGGCAGACAGGCCCAAACCCUAAACCCACAGUGGGUUCAGCUUUGCAGCUCACUCCAUUUCUACUUUGCCACCAGCAUCCCUUCCAGCUCUGGAAGUUCCUACCAGAAUCCUGGCAGUUCCUGUCUGAGGACUAAUGCAAAGGAAGCAAGGUGGGGUUGAGCAGAUAUCAUGGAAGUUCAAGUCCUGGAACAGCCCAAAUGUGUGUGAGCCUCUGAGUCUCCUAACACCAUUCUGUGCACAUACCCUACCACCUUCCUGGAAACUCACUCCUGGCAGAAAUGGCUCCUCAGGGAAAUCACAGCAAAAGUAAUUAAAUGAGCAGCCUGGCUUCAAGCACAGCACCAGAGAGCCUGUCUCUGACAGUCUCCUGAGAAGACAAAGCUGAAUGAUUUCCCAUUCUUUCUUUUUAAGACAUCUGAUACAGGUUACAUCGUGUUCCUUGGCAACUGGCAUCCAUGGAGUUGUCAUGGUUACAGGUGAACCAGAGACUGAGUUGUUACUGGCUAGACUCUGAACUCAUGGAGCUGAACAUGUUAAAGACACACCCAUUGUCUUCUUGCCAUGGCUGGAAAGAAGCUGAAGGUAAACAGCACUUCCCAGCUGGGUGCAGCCUGUGGACAGACACACAGCAGAUGUGGAAAGUGGAGCUUCAGGCCUCUCAGAAGCCAAGGCAACGGGCCCAUCCUUCAUUUGUUCAUGCUUGGGUUGCAGAGGACACAAACCCUGUGCCACUAACUCUGAGUGAAGAAACUGCUCAGACCCAAGAAACAAAAAGCAAUGACCUCCCCCCCCCCAAACACACACACACCAUUGCCUGCCAAGCUGCUGCUCUCUCACAGAAGCCCAGUGUGAGCCUGCAUGCAGUUUUACAGCUCCUGGGAGUCACACUUCAAAAGGUUAAAAGAAACUACUAAAAUUCCAUGUCUGUCUGUCUGUAUGUAUGUGCAUGUUUUUAGUCUAGUCUUGUCUUGCACUCUCAGUCCUCCAGUCUCAGCCUCCUGAAUGCCAGGAUUACAAAUCUAUGCAAACACUCCCAUCUCCAAAUGUAAUUUUAGCAAUGCAUAUUUAACUCAGUAUAUAUAAAAUACUAUAUCAGCAUGUUGUUGUGGGGUUUUUACCAGAGAAAACUGUGUUUAAGAUACAGGUUUAAACCAAUAGAAAGUAUUAGUCAAUUAGUCACUGGCAACUGUACUGGGUGUUGG